rnacentral:rRNA from 1 species
AUUGAACGCUGGCGGCAGGCCUAACACAUGCAAGUCGAGCGGAGCGGUGGACGGGUGAGUAAUGCCUAGGAAUCUGCCUGGUAGUGGGGGCUCACGUCCGGAAACGGGCGCUAAUCCCGCAUACUAUCAGAUGAGCCUAGGUCGGAUUAGCUAGUUGGUGGGGUAAAGGCCUACCCAGGCGACGAUCCGUAACUGGUCUGAGAGGAUGAUCAGUCACACUGGAACUGAGAGACGGUCCAGACUCCUACGGGAGGCAGCAGUGGGGAAUAUUGGAGAAGGGGCGAAAUGCUGAUCCAGCCAUGCCGCGUGUGUGAAGAAGGGCUUCGGAUGGUAAAGCACUUUUAGUUGGGAGGCGUGACCAACAGAAUAAGCGCCGGCUAACUUCGUGCCAGCAGCCGCGGUAAUUC